GACGUGGGGGGCGAGCGUUGUCCGGAAUUACUGGGCGUCAAGCGCGCGUAGGCGGGCUGGCAGGCGGCGUGUGGAAGGCGGGGGCUCAACCCCCGAUGGGCGCGCCGAACCGCUGGUCUUGGGACGGCGAGGGGCAGGUGGAAUGGUCGGAGGAGCGGUGAAAUGCGUAGAGAUCGGGAGGAACACCAGUGGCGAAGGCGGCCUUCUGGACCAAUACUGACGCUCAUGCACGAAAGCGUGGGGAGCAAACAGG
rnacentral:rRNA from 1 species